rnacentral:rRNA from 1 species
UACGAAGGGGGCAAGCGUUGUUCGGAAUUACUGGGCGUAAAGGGCGCGUAGGCGGCUUAUCAAGUCAGGCGUGAAAUUCCCGGGCUCAACCUGGGGGCUGCGCUUGAUACCGAUUGGCUUGAAUGCGGGAGAGGAUAGUGGAAUUCCCAGUGUAGAGGUGAAAUUCGUAGAUAUUGGGAAGAACACCGGUGGCGAAGGCGGCUCACUGGCCCGGUACUGACGCUGAGAUACGAAAGCGUGGGGAGCAAACAGGG